AAGAGAAGAGCCAGGACUGAGGCCGAGUGGCAGUCACGCCUUCCCUUUGUCACACCACAGUUAGCAUAACACCAAUCCCAGAGGUGUGAGCUGGGAGGGAGGGGUCUGAGUCAAGAGGAUGCACCUCAUCCAGGCUGCAGGGCUCCAAGCCUCUGGCAGAAUGUGGAGUGACCACAAGACGGGUGCCCUGGGAGGUUGGGGGUUCUGACUCAAGGGGACAGAGUGACCAUCAAGAAAAGAGGAAUUUGGACAAGGCUUACCUGGGAGCACUGGCUUCUGCUGCUCAUGGUAUCGAGUGAGGUGGUUCAGUAGUCUGGUCCGGAGAGUCAAGGAGAGCUCCAUCCCUGUGUCCGGUGCCUUGAAGAAAAUGGACAUAAGCAAGCUUCAUGCCCAGCACAGAGCCCAACAUGGGGCUUGAACUCACAACCCCGAGAUCAAGACCUGAGCUGAGAUCAAGAGCAGGACGCUUCACGGCCUGAGCCACCCAAGUGCAACUGGAGGUCAUGCGGAUGACCAGAAGUUGUGCCUCAAUAUAACAGAACCAAGACCACUUGCUUCUCUCUGUCUAGCCAAUUCAACCAGAUGGAAUUGGUGCCCCUACGGAGCCUCUGCUCCCAUCACUACCCUCUCUUGGUGGCCCGUCAGAGAAGACCCUGGCGGAGAAGCAGCUCCCGUACCUUAUCAUGUACCAUCAAUAAAGUAUA